rnacentral:tRNA from 1 species
GGAUAUAGCUCAGUGUUAAAGAAUGUGCCUAGCAUGCAUGAGGGCCUGGGUUCAAUUCCCAGUACCA